UUGAAAAUGAAACCCUAACCCAGUGACCCGCUAACCGACCCGGUUUCCUUCACUCACACUCAGCAGCAGCAGCUGCUGCCCCUCUACCCUAGACACCCACACGCAGAGGCAAAAAGGAAAAGAAAGGAAGAAACAAACGAAGCAAAAGGAGGGAGAGAGAAAAUUAGGGAAGAGGGAAGAG